rnacentral:lncRNA from 1 species
AUAUUUUUCUCUUCAAUUUUUUCUUAGGGCGUGUUUAGUUCGAGUUAUAUAAUAUUACAGAGUAUCUUGACAUAUCUAGGUGUCUUGGAUUUUGGCAUGAGAUUACCACUGAUGCUGUAUUAGCGCGUUUGGUUUAAUACAGUAAUGUAAUACUGGAUUUGCAGUGUUUAUAGCAUUGCUAUGUUUGUUUCAGUCUAUAAAAUUUAGUAAUCCUGGCAUAAAAAUAUAGUUUUUUUUCAAAAUUAACCUUGUUGUGGUCAUUUGAAUAUUAUUUUUUACUAAAAUAUAAUUUGAACUAGUAAAUUAAUUAUAUUAAUAAGUAAU